AGUAGAGUGAUCGAAAGAUGAAGAGCACAUUGAAAAGAGAGUUAAAAAGUACGUGAAAUUGUUGAAAGGGAAGCGUUUAUGACCAGACUUGGGCUUGGUUCAUCAUCUGGGGUUCUCUCCAGUGCACUUUUCCAGUACAGGCCAGCAUCAGUUUCCGCCGGGGGAUAAAGGCUUCGGGCAUGUGGCUCCCCUCUGGGAGUGUUAUAGCCCGUUGUGUAAUACCCUGGUGGGGACUGAGGUUCGCGCUUCUGCAAGGAUGCUGGCGUAAUGGUCAUCAACGACCCGUCUUGAAACACGGACCAAGGAGUCGAAUUCCUAUGCGACU
rnacentral:rRNA from 1 species